GGUUUGGCUGAACAACUUGCAAUGGUAGGUUACUGCUGUUCUUGUAAAAUCAUGCUAUUUUUUCAAAUGAUGUUGUGUUGAUGCAUUGCUUCUCUUGGAUGUGGAUUCUUCGGCAAGCAUUAUUAUUAAGAAUUAAAAAAGUCCAUGUGCUGUAGCUGGAGCCCAGAGGUGACUUUGAUUGUCAACGUGCUCAAUACAUAUUUUGGGGAAUUCUUUUUUAUGUUGUCAGCAUACUAUCAUUUAUGGUGUCAUAAUAAUUACGACGGAAAAUGCGUGAUUUUGUACUUGUGCAGAUUGCGAAAGAGCAUGGAGGUAU
rnacentral:misc_RNA from 1 species